UUUAAAGACUACUAUUCUCUAUACGGGAGAGAAAGAGUCCUUGGCCAACAAAACAUAACAACUUUAGAGAUUUCACUCGAUCAGAUCUGCCCGUCCUAUCCCACCACACAAGUUCUAUCUCUUCAUGAAAGCCAAGACCCCAUCGCUUCAAUCCAGAUUAAGAGCUCCGUUUUCUCUCAGUUGGUAUUAACCAGGUACAAAUUUCAUGCAGUUUUGUGAGGGUUCGUCGUCCAGCUAAUUGUGCCAAGAACGAUCGUCUCAAGUACUAUAGUUGCUGAGUUUGCUCGAUUAACACAUCAAUCUGGUGGUCUUUGUCUCUUUGACAACUUGUGCAGCAUAAGGCAUAUUAUCAAGCAUUUUUGUUAUAUCAAUUGUUAUCCAGUACUUUCAAUC